UGAUUAUGUGAGAGUGCAGUUACACUUCACUUGUGUCCUGCAUAUGGGCUUCCCAUGGGCCUCUUGUUGGCCUCUGUGAGAUCAGAGUGCUUUUCUAGAUGGGUCUUUGGCAUGAUCCAGUAGGGCAGGAUAGAAAUCUUACAAAUAAAGAAACAAAGAAGUUUCUUUGGUACACUCAAGGCCAGCCAGCGUGAAAAAUGGUAAGCCAAACAAUUAGAAAUGCUACUGAACGCCUCUCACUGUGGUUUGCUUCAGGAUCAAUAUGUUCUCUCUCACCCUGAUGCUAAUUAGUGUUCAAUAUAGAUGACACCCUGUCUCCUUGAUAGAUUUGUGGCUGUGGGCUGUUGUUUCCUUUCACAACAUCCAUGUCCCAUUGAGUGCCAGUUGUCCACAAAUUAGAUGCAUGAGUUACUAUCAUUUCAUAUUGUUCUGCAGCAAGCCUGCAUAUCCUGUGAUGCACAGGGUAAAAGUAGCACACUAGCCAUGUGUGGUGGUUCACCAAUGGCUCCAUAAGCUUCCAGUUUUUCAAUGUUGGUUGGGAACUGUAAAACUGGGAAGAGGAGCUUUCAGGAACAUAGGACGUCAUUAUGACUGGUGCAUUAAACUUGGCAGGUCACAAAAUUGGGCAAUGAAGUUCUUCAGAAUGAAACCAAUCACAUAAUAAUGUGAUCCGGCCUUCUGGUUCUCUCUUUGUAUGUAUACCCACAGACCACCAUGAGGGACGCGAGUGGCACUGUGGUCUAAACCACUGAGCGUCUGGGGCUUGCUGAUCGGAAAGUCAGUGGUUCGAAUCCGUGCAAUGGCGGUGAGUUCCCAUUGCUCUGUCCCAGCUCCUGCCAACCUAGCAGUUCAAAAGCACACCAAUGCAAGUAGAUAAAUAGGUACCACUGUGGUGGGAAGGUAAACAGUGUUUCCGUGUUCUCUGGCUUCCAUCACGGUGUCCCGUUGUGCCAGAAGCGGUUUAGUCAUGCUGGCCGCAUGACCCAGAAAGCCAUCUGUGGACAAAUGCUGGCUCCCUCGGCUUGAAGUGAGAUGAGCACCACACCCCAUAGUUACCUUUGACUGGACUUAACCAUCCAGGGGUCAUUUACCUUUACUUAUUUACCUGCUUAGAAGCCAUUUUGGCAAGUGAUAUCUAUUUAAGCUGACUGGGGAUAAGGACACCUGCAGGAUUAUAGAUUCCCCACCCCUGCUUUAGUUUAAGUGAGAUCUGGCUCCUGAAAGCUUAUCCCACAAUACAUUUAACAUUCUUUAAGGUGGCACAUUGUUCUUCGGGGCUUUUUGUUGCCGCCAAACCAGACUGAUAAUUCUAGUGUUGUAUUAAUUGAGGUGGAGUCUCUAAUGUGAGGGCACUAAUUGCAUUCUUCUCUGCCCUCUCCCAAUUACUUUUAAGAAGUUCAUUUUCUGUUCAGAGCUUUUAAGGGAGGUGUGAUGGGUGUUCUUUUAAGAUGUGUGCUAUCCUCUCUAUAUGCAAGCUAAUUAGGAGAAAGUUGAUGUCCUCACCGGAAUGCAUGUUAAUUUCAAACAAGCUCCCUUUGGUCAUUUCAUUGUCUCACUUCCUGGUCUGGCCACUUGGAAGCAGGGCUCGUAUGUGAACAGAAUAUGGAGUUUUUAGGGUAUGGGGUCAUGACCUGCAGAUGCCAGGUGAAGCUUUAAAAGAAUUAAAGAGAGAAGAAAAUUAAUUGCCUCCUCCCUUCUCCCAGUCCAUCAUAGACCUAGGUCUCUCUGUUUGACAUUUGGGACUCUUCCUGCACCACACUGACUCUGUUCCACCACCUCCUGAAAGUGUACAAACUGUGUACAAACUGUAUCGAGUUUGUGAAUUUGAAAUAUGUGAUAUUUGCCAUAUCCUGUUGUUUCCAAAGGCAUCAGUCCAGAGUUAAAUCCAGAUGCAGAAGGUCAAAUUAGGAGUCUGCUUUGGUCAAAGAAAUGACCAGUUUUGGAAUGAAGCAUCAAUUACACUUGGCCUCUCCAAGUCCUCUAGCAGUGGAUGGAGCCGUGAGGCACAGCUGAUCAAGAAAACACAGUAGCCUAAAAGCUGGGUGUGAAAAUAUAGUAUUAAUCUAUCUUCCUUCCUGUAAAUUGAAAUAACCAAUGAUUGUACAGCCUCCUUCUAUUGCAAAUUCCCCCUCUAUCUGUAAUAUGGACAUAAAAGUUGGCUAUGGAUAUGAACUCUGGUGGGCUAAAAUUAUUUGGUAGCUCCAUAUGAUGGUAGAACAAAUCCCUUAGGCAGAAAGUAUUAUUACAGUUUGUCUUCCUUACAGGACAGAGUCUCAGAAGGAGAAGGAAAAUAAUGUGCCGCAAUCUGAAGAUGUGUUCAGGAAAGAGCAG